AUUCAGCUGGCGAGUUCUAAAUAGGACGAAACGCGAGUCCUGGAU
rfam:Schistosoma curassoni strain Dakar, Senegal genome assembly, scaffold: SCTD_scaffold0005732